rnacentral:rRNA from 1 species
UACCUCUGGUGUACCGGUUGUGACGCCAGUCGCAUCGCCGGGUAGCUAAGUACGGACGGGAUAACCGCUGAAAGCAUCUAAGCGGGAAGCCUCCCUCAAAACUAGGUAUCCCUUGAGAGUCGUGGAAGACUACCACGUUGAUAGGCCAGGUGUGGAAGUAUAGUAAUAUAUGAAGCUAACUGGUACUAAUAACUCGAUCGGCUUGAAAU